rnacentral:rRNA from 1 species
UACGAAGGGGGCUAGCGUUGCUCGGAAUCACUGGGCGUAAAGCGCACGUAGGCGGAUUAUUAAGUCAGGGGUGAAAUCCCGGAGCUCAACUCCGGAACUGCCUCUGAUACUGAUAGUCUUGAGUUCGGGAGAGGUGAGUGGAACUGCGAGUGUAGAGGUGAAAUUCGUAGAUAUUCGCAAGAACACCAGUGGCGAAGGCGGCUCACUGGCCCGAUACUGACGCUGAGGUGCGAAAGCGUGGGGAGCAAACAGG